rnacentral:rRNA from 1 species
CCCUUAGAUGUUCUGGGCCGCACGCGUGCUACACUGAGUGGAUCAGCGGGUCAGGUUGCGCGAAAGCGUUUCCUAAUCUUUAAAUCCGCUCGUGAUGGGGAUUGACGGUUGCAAUUUGCUGUCAUGAACGAGGAAUACCUUGUAAGCGCGGGUCAUCAUCCCGCGCUGAAUACGUCCCUGCCCUUUGUACACACCGCCCGUCGCUCCUACCGAUUGAGUGGUCCGGUGAGGCUUUGGGAUCUGAGCGGAAAGAGCGUUUCGCUGUUUCUGCUCGGAAAACUCAGUCGAACCUUAUCAUUUAGAGGAAGGAGAAGUCGUAACA